GGAGAAGAGACUGAUUACACACUUGGGCUUCACUGGGAACGUGGCUAGUGAGAGAACAAAACCUAACGUAACUGAGGUGCUCAUGGACAUAGAGUAAAAUCUAACGCUCCUGAAGCAAGUGUUCAGUGACAGCGAGAGCCAAGAAAAAAAAAACUUAAGCCUAAAUGGAGAUGAAAUUAGAGCAAGAGUUCCCAACCAGGGGAGAAGUUCCUCCCAGGGGGUGAUUUCAAGGUUUCAGGGACGAAAUUCGGAUCAUAGAUGGGCACUCACGUUUGAAGAUUUUUUUUUCCUCACCUUCGCGCUACCUAUGGGGGCACAAAAGGCAGCAGGCGUCGGUCACCUGCUGCAGCAGCCCAUCGGGCCAUGUGCCUCAAGCUACUGAGCCAUAAGGUUCGAAAUAGCUUACCCCUUGACAGGGCGUCCAGACUUACUCUCUCCCUGGUAAUCUUUUACGAGCACCUCCCUCACCUCACCCCCUCCGGUAAAGUGUUGUACUGCACCGCCUCCCGCAGGAGAGGUAUGCGCCUUUUGGGUCAGACAAUCUUGGAAAGGAAGGAAUGGCACACUGACACAUGGUGAAAAGGGUGCAAUGGGCAAAAAAAGGUUGAGGACCACUGAAUGGAUGAAGAUAACAACAGUGGUGCCUGAAGGAAGAGGUCACUUUGUUGGCCUUUGUCUUUUUGGCCCAUUUUUUCAAGGCGUGGUUAGUUAGUUUUGUUGACUUUUUCAUCCUUUAAUAUGACUGAGUUUGUGAUAUGUCGACUUAACUUUGAAAAUCCAACACUUGCAGCCAAGUCCAUCCCAAAAAUGGAGUUAAAAAUCCAAAGUAGCCACCGCACUGUUGAUAAAUACUAAUACGUUAAAAAAAUCAGGUAAUAGCCCAUUGAUGGGUAUUACCAGUGUCGCCCGAAAUGAUGAUCAUCAUCUCGGCCGACACUCCCAUAACUUCGUUCCGAUAAUUAAAAAGCGUAAUCACCGAACCCACUCCACGAUCUCUUAUCUUCUGAAGUACUGGAAAACAGUGAGUGAGUGAGUGAGUGAGUGAGUGUGUGUGUGUGUGUGUGUGUGUGUGUGUGUGUGUGUGUGUGUGUGUGUGUGUGUGUGUGCGCGCGCGCGCGCGCGCUCUCAGUCUUUCCUCCCACGUGCAUCAUAUACGGUAACUCCUUAACUUGUGUUUACUUUUAAUACAGGGUUUAACAUGCAACGCGGGGCUUAAUGUGAGAUAUCAUUCGCCAGGCAUCGACCAACUAUACGCUAAUUAAUUAACAAAAAGUUCCACCUAACAAUUUCAAGAGAUAAAAUAAAUCUAGUUUUACAUAUAGCCCCAGACACGGAGUUUUCAACCAGGGGGUAUUACGGGGGAAUUUGGAUCACAGAUUGACAGACUCAAACAUUUGUAAUACGUAUUUAUCUUUUUACUGCCUUCAAGCUUCCCGCGGCGGCACAACAGGCAGCAGGCAUCAGUUGCCUGCUGCAGCCCCCAUCUUACCCUGUGCCACAGGCUCCUGAACGAUAAGGUUCAAACUACCUUACCCAAAGACAGGACUGUCACACCUACGCUUUCCCUCGGCCUCCUGCAAUGAGCAGCCCCACCCUAAGAUCUAUAGAUAUAUGCUUCACCCGCCCCACCCCCUCCAGUGAAGCGACGCCGCUGCACCCCCCUCGCAGGUAAGGUAUGACUCGUGCUUUCGGAAAGGAGGGUAUGACAUUCUUACAUAUGGUAAAAAGGGUCUCUUGAGCAAAAAAGGUUAAAAACUACUGGUUUAGACUCUACAGUAGACUUGGGAUGGAAGCCAUGCAGGCAACAUACGACAGCUUAGAGAACAUUAAUGUAAAUAAGUUAACGAACGUGUAGGAAAUAGGCAAAAUCCGAGGUGUUCAGGAAUACCGAAUUUUUUUUUUUUCCAAUAUUUGUGGUUAGGAGUUAGGAUGAGUCCUUUAACAAAGGAAGAGGGAAAAAGAGGCAUCUCCACCUCACUUCCGUUCUGGGGUUGUUGAUUCGAGGCAAGGACCAUCAAGGAAAUUACUGUGCUAACCCAAAUACAAUCGAAGUCUUCUUGUUUACUUCCGAGUGCCUCAUAAUAAAACUACAAUAAUCGCCUUACUUCAGUCCCCGUUUCCAUGUUCUCCCUUGUAUGUUUUGAAACUACAGUGACUCCAAAUACUAUCGCAGUUUCCUGGUUCAUUGCGUCAAUUGCAACUAUAAUGAUCCAACUUACAUCACGUCUCCUUGUUCUUUGUAUGUCUUGAAACUACAAUGAUCGCCUUACUUCAACUGCGGUUUUCUCAUUCUCUUUUGUAUGUCUUGAAACUACAAUGAUCCAACUUCAAUCGUUGUUUAUUCUUUCUCUUUUGUACGUCUUGAAACUGCAAUGAUCCAACUUCAAUCGCUGUUUCUUUGUUCUUUGCACGCCUUUUUUCAAUCGCUGUUUCUUCUUUCUCUUUUCCAUGUCUUGAAACUACAAUUAUCACCCAAAUACAGUCUAAUUCUUCUCGUUUUGUUUUGUGGAUCGCUUGAAACCAUACUAUGAUCAUCCAUAUACAAUCGCCGCAUCUUUACUAGUGUCCUGUUGAUGUUAAGAUUCCCUUAUGUAAUGAACUUAUUCUAGCCAUACACACAGACUUGUAUAACGUGUGUGUGUGUGUGUGUGUGUGUGUGUGUGUGUGUGUGUGUGUGUUGCUAGCAGUUUCCCCUUGUACGUUAAACUGGCAAGCACGAUUAGCAGCCGUGUGUGUGUGUGACCCUGACUUGGCCGGGGUUGUUGCCGUGGAGACUGCACCCCCCACCCCACCCCCAUCACCUCUCCUACACCCCGUUCCGCCCCUUCCCCGUCCUUUCCCUUCCCCUGCCGUCCCCUGCGUCACCUCCACGUAGCAAUGUUAGGAGGUGAGGUUGCCCGGUACCCCCUGCCAGCCACCCCCAUGCAUGUGUAGGUAUAUUCUUGGGAGUUGGGGACGUGACUUACGCUGUCUGUCACUGCUUGGGAAUACUACCGUUGACUACGUGUGUGUGUGUGUGUGUGUGUGUGUGUGUGUGUGAUCAUGUGCAGGACUCAUGAUCGCCAGAGAGAGAGAGAGAGAGAGAGAGAGAGAGAUUCACCCACCUGCACGCGCGGGCGCAUACGCGCGCGCGUGUGCACACACACACACACACACACACACACACACACACACACACACACACACACACACACACACACACACACACACACACUUUACCCCCAUCCCCCCACCCUUACACACAAUUAUCUACAUCCCCCUACUCCGUCUCCCCCAUCCCACGUCAUACACACAGGUCCAGAGUGUCGCUUGGGUGGCGCCGUGCGUGAGGCAACCUUCCCGCGUCAAGGUGCUCCCGUCAGCGUGCACCACCGGGCUGCGACACGGGGGAGCGUCUGAAGGCUAUUGGGUGUGUGUAAACUUGUAAAGAAACUAAAGAUCUUGUGGGUUACGCACCACGAGCCCCGUGAAGGUGGAGCAAUACCUGUGAGGGGGUGGAGGUAAAGUCCUUCUCUCGGUGUGUGAAAGUAACAAGUGGACGACUCUAUAUAAUCGGAGAGGCUGUACAAGUCUAACUUACGGGGAGCAUACUUCAGGCGGCGCGUUGUUUCACUCACUCGCCGCAUCCACUCAGAUGAUCCCCCCCCGAGCAAGCUCUCACGCAGUUACCCAUCCCAUUCUAAGCCCCUCCAGGCCGGAUCGGCUGACUUGCCCCAGCCAUGAGUUACGUGGGCGCCCCCUUGGUCUCCUCCACUCAGGGUUGUCUCGUACAGAAACAACCCUGUGAGCAGGAUCGACGUCCGGGCAGCGCGCCACGUGCCGAUAUAGCCGGAGUUGGCGUUCACGGACUUAGUUCCUGACAGGCCUCAAUACAGUUUCAUCACGUAGUCGCUGAUUCGGCACGAAGUCAUUCCAGGGAUACCCCAUGACCCUGAGUAUACCAAGUGUAUACGUCUAAUAAUAAUGAAUUAAAAGGUACACGGUAGACUCUUCAGAGCGUUGGUACGGGAAUAGAGGAGAGCAGGUUGUUCAAAUUGCGAUAGACUACAAGGUGAUUCGCAGCCUCUUCCCAUAUAGAUCGGUUGAUUACCAAAUGCUACCAGAUGACGUUGGGUACACCAACACUGUCUAGACCAGACAGUGUUGGUGUGCCAAAGGUUAUUAUACGGGCUUAAUCUUAUCAUACAAUAACAUAAGAUUAAGUAACACCAGUAUAGUAACCUUUGCAACCGCUAAAACACACUGAAAAGAAUCGGACCGAAAACAAGUCUUCCCCGCACAGUCCUUGCUUCAAAUGCCACAAGACUCGCUCCUGCUAGUCCUGUCAAGUCACCGGCUCCUCCUUGGCGACAGCGUACUAGGAGACGACCUUGGCGCGCAUGAGAACACCCUUUCGAGCAGUCAUGAUGCAGAAAAACGCCGCCGCUUGUCCUCACUAAAGCAAGUAACUCCCACCACCAAGAUCCUGACUCCCGCUACAGUAAAGGACGCAGCUCAAGGACAAACAUAAAAAAAACCACUAGCAUUCAUAUCUACAUACACUCAGUUCCACUCCUAUACACAUAACACGACCCUUCCACCACAGAAAAAGAAGUAACUCAAGGGCAAAAAAUAUGAAAAAGAAAACUAGCACAUUCAUAUACUGACAUCCCACUCCUAUAAGCACAACACAACCCUUCCACAACACCCACAAGCAAGAAUACACCCACUACACUUACAUCCCACUCCAAUACACACAACACAACCCUUCCACUACAUCCAUGAGCAAGAUUACACCCACUACACUGACAUCCCACUCCAAUACACACAACACAACCCUUCCACUACAUCCACGAGCAAGAUUACACCCACUACACACAGCCCCACUUCUAUAAAACCCAAACAACUUUUCCACUACACCCAGAAGCAAGAUUACACCCGCUACACUCACCCCCACUACCAUCAGGCCCCACCAGGAAGAUGCCUACCGGCGCAACAGGCAACGACGUAAAAAAAAAAAAAAAAAAAAAACACAACCCAUCCACUACACCUACAAGCAAGAUUACACCCACUACACUCACCCCCACUACUGUAAACACAACACAACCCGUCCACUACACCUACAAGCAAGAUUACACCCACUACACUCAUAUCCCACUUAUACAAGCCUCCCACUACACCCAAGGACACACACUCCCUCCCCUCCACUACACCCCCCCUCCCCCCCCACGAUGCAACACAACACAGCAGUCCCUCUCAAUUACAUCCUAUUCAGUACCGUCCCUUCCCCAGUUAUGUUCUAUCAAUACCUGCAGCUCACGCUUACUACUACUGCUACUACUACUACUAAUAAUAAUAAUAAUGAGAAAGAAUAGGGAUAGAGGAGGUGGUAGAAGAGGAAGGAGGGGAGGACGUGGUGGAGGAAGAGGAGGAGGGGGAGAAGAGAUACAGACGUACAAGACUGAAUGAAAAAAGUGUGUGUGUGUGUGUGUGUGUGUGUGUGUGUGUGUGUGUGUAUCAUUCAACCUACAUGGAUAUUCGUGCACAAACAUCGAUAAGGGACAGCAUAUCACAAUUUAACGAAACCAUACUAUAUAAUGGUCAUCUCAAGAGUACGAUAACAUAAGAGCGAAGCACGAUAACCUGCCCUAAAGAGUUCGAUAAGACGGAGGGGAUCGAGUACAAUAACCUCCUGCUGGCGUGAUCGUGGCGGGAACCUCAUAUCAGUCAAGGGCCUCUUCAGCGCUAUCGCCCUUAUCGGUGACUUCAAUCUUGGCUUCUUGUGUAAUGUCCUCUGAAUGACAUAGCUCUACUUGGCCCUACUUGGCUGUACCUUGUGGCGUCGUUUCUUUGCCUGGUUUUCAAUUUUGUGUGAUUGAGAAAGAUAAACGCAAAGUUGAGGGCAUACGGUAUAGCUGGUUGUGGUGCUCAUUUCCAUAUCGUUGGCAGUUUGAGCCCGUAGUAGGAAGACAGACAGAGACAGAGUCGAACUAAAAUGUUAAUGGAAAGCUGUUAUUGCAAAGAGUUGAGACAGGUGCAUUGCGGCCAGACAGGUGCUACACACUUACUUUUAAAAUUAAUCAUCUCACUCACAACUUGCCCCAAAAUAAUAUAGAUACCGUCAUUUCCCGAUUUUUGGUGAAUAUUUAGUGUUCAAUGAGGCCAAUGACGCUUCAUGGUGUUACCGGACAACAUUUUGUGAUUGAUGCAAAAUGCGUUCAUGGGUCUGAGGGGGUUCAAGUGUCACCAUCCGCUCAUAUUACAAGUUCGUCCUUCCUAGCAAUCUACUUCUACUACUAUAAUCUUUACUACUACUACCUUAUUCAGUCAUGCUAGCUAAGCCUAUUCCUUUGAUUCACACCUCUUUAAAUAUCGAGUACGCUACCUGGCUCUUGUGUCAGCGAAUCAGGUACGCAGACAACGCUGUACAUGAACAACCUCUAGAGCGAAGGUAGUGGUCGUACGUGUUUUUAUAGGGGGCUGGCGUAUAAGAAUGUGUGUGCGUGCCGGCAACUCUCGAGACAAAGUAAGAAUUAAAGAGUACGUGUUUUUGUGCAAGUCUGAAGAUGUGUGUGUGUGUGUGUGUGUGUGUGUGUGUGUGUAAUUCACCACGGCCUUAUCACGAGUUGGACUCGCUUUCGCCAGCAGGCACCCUCACGACGUGAGCAAGUGCUCAUUAUUGUCGAUCUCCUCACACACCACACACCCCAUCUCCCUUGCUAAAGGGGGGACAGUAACCACUCCUAGUCAACGGAAAGAAUCCGGCCUGAGCGGGGUUCGAACUGCCGCCUGUUUGGCCGUGAAGCCUUGCAGCGCGGCGCUCUAACCGAUUGAGUUACCAGAGUGUGUGUGUGUGUGUGUGUGUGUGUGUGUGUGUGUGUGGCAAGAUCUCAAGGCCCCAGUAACCUUUCGGAAGCGGGGCGGACGGAGCAGCAUGCGUGCGUGUGUGUGUGUGUGUGUGUGUGUGUGUGUGUGUGUGUGUGUGCGAGAGAGAGAGAGAGAGAGAGAGAGAGAGAGAGAGAGAGAGAGAGUCGAAGCGAAGCAUAUAGGACCAGUCAAGCGAAGAAAGGUUAAGUCGUGGUUAAGUCUGCGCGUGGCAUUGCGAAACCCUUCAUGCGAUCAAAAUAAACAUAAAAACUUUCCCAUUAUACCCUCAUAAAACUAAUAAUUUAUAGUAUUAAUAAUAAUAUAAAAAUAUCUAAGUAAUGGUUUUCCCGUUCAUGGUGCAGAAGUCAGAUUGAACUAUCGCUAGGAUCACAAAAGUCCAUGAAAAUCCCAACAACUUCUACGAGGGGCUUUUCAAACAGGCGAAGUCAUGUGCAGAGAAGUUUAAGAAUACAGGAAUACGGGCAACACAGGAUUACAUGAAUAUCCCAGUAACUUUUACGUGAGGCUUUGCAUAUUGACGAACCGAGGUGCUGAGACGUGUAGGAAGGAAUAUAGGCUUUUAUGUGACAUGCCGUAGUCAACCAAACGUGGAACAUCUGCAGACCGAUGAUACCGUAGCAGCGUUGCCAAAUUAUCGUAUUAAGCGAAUUGCAUUUUGGUAGUUUCUGACCGAUAACUAUAGCAAAAAAGAACUAAACCCAUCAAUAUUUAACAGUUUCAACGCUAACUUUAAUUUCCUAUCGUUAUUUGUGUGGUUACGACAGUCUUGGAGCCUAAAAAUGAUAAAUGCAAUGUUCAGUGUACGAGAAUUUGGCAGAGUUGUACCGUAGGCUCAGAAAUUUCCAUGCUCUACACCGAAAAAAAAAGGUUGGCAGUAUUUACGUAACUCAGUAAUUUUAAAAGGUUCUCCGAGUGUCUGAGAGCCGGUGACACACGUGAACGUAUCUAAUCAGGAAAAGUUCUUAAGAUUACUCGUGAGAAUGUUCUUACUCGAAAAGGAUUAUAAUUAUCAGCUUAUCGUAUAGAGAUGUUGAACCACGCAGCAGCCUCACUAUCUUGCAUCCACUACUACCUAACUAAAUAGUCGGGUGUAUGUUCCCCGUUAGUUAGGAUAUGCAAGAUUGUAUGAUUCUCAGCGUCUCUGUAUUCUUAACUGCAACUGAAAAUGUCUCACUAAACACCGCUUCUCAGAAUUUAAAAGACAACUGGAUGUUUAGAGGGUAGUAUCAGGCAGAGGACAAGCGGAUAGGCCUACAGACCAAGCCCCGCAUUCUUGGUCCUUACCCCACCCCCCCACCCACCCCGGCGUCUACCUCCUGUACGUCACGUCAGCCACGGUAACCAAACCUACCCCCAACACAACUUCCCUAACUAAUGAGAUUCUCCCGACAUUCUUAAACGUCGUAAUAGUCUUUGAUAACUAUAUAGUGUGGCUGAUUUGUCUUUUUAGAGCCGUUUUUUCAACUUGGUAUAUUUGCGUCAUCACCAAGAAAGUUAAGCUGUAGCCUUUAACCCUAAAAUUUGUUCAUUGAAAGGUAUUGGAGAAUGACGACUGGCUGGAUGACACAAACUGAUAUCAAGGGAAUGAAAGAGAGGGGAAAGAAGAAAAGAGAAAACUUGUAAUAUAGGUAAUGGAUACGCGUCCUAUAAGCUUAUGGGACGAGAAAGGUCAAGGAACGGCGUCUGGCUGGCUGAUAUUGCUGAAACUGAUAUCAAGGGAAUGAGAAAGGAAAGGAAAGAGGGAAGGAAAGGAAGAGAAAGCUUGUAAUAUGGGUGAUGGAUACACGUUCUUAUAAGCUUAUGGGAUGAGAAAGGUCAGGAACGACAAGGAACGGCGUCUGGCUGGCUGAUAUUGUUGAAACUGAUAUUAAGGGAAUGAGAAAGGAAAGGAAAGAGGGAAGGAAAGGAGAAGAAAGCUUAUAAUAUGGGUGAUGGAUACACGUUCCUAUAAGCUUAUGGGAUGAGAAAGGUCAAGGAACGGCAAUGAAUGGCGUGUGGCUGGCAGAUAUUGCUGAAACUGAUAUCAAGGGAAUGAGAAAGGAAAGGAAAGAGGGAAAGAAAGGAAGAGAAAGCUUGCAAUAUGGGUGAUGAGUACACAUUCUUAUAAGCUUAUGGGACGAGAAAGGUCAAGGAACGGCAAGGAACGGCGUCUGGCUGGCUGAUAUUGCCGAAAAUGAUACCAAGGGAAGGAGAAAGAGAAAGGGGAGAGGGAAGGAAUGGAAGAGAAAGCUUGCAAUAUGGGUGAUGGGUACACGUUCCUAUAAGCUUAUGGGAGGAGAAAGGUCAAGGAACGGCAAUGAACGGCGUGUGGCUGGCUGAUAUUGCUGAAACUGAUAUCAAGGGAAUGAGAAAGGAAAGAGGGAAGGAAAGGAAGAGAAAGCUUGUAAGAUAGGCGAUAAAGACUCUACUAAGCUUAUUGGACGAGAAAAAUCAAAUUACCUUAUAUAACUACUAAAUUAAACAAAACAGGACACUACAACUAUUCAUCAGUAGAAUAUAUAUUAAUCUUUACUUCAGUGCUCUUUUGUAUGGCAAGCUUCAAAUUCCUAGUUGAGGUGACGUGGCCAGCCAGUCAGCCAGCCAGCCAGUCCCUCCCUUCUCCCUCUCUCUCCCACCUCGGUUUCUUCAUCCCAUCCACAACUUUCUCCUCUUUCCCUGCUGUCACAUCCCUCCAUUUACUAGGUUAGGGAGACUUCACUAUACUCGUGUUCCCUUACUUGCAUUCCUCAUUUAUUUGCUGACGAGAAUAAGCAUUGACAGAUCUGUUUUCUAAUUCUAUAUCCUCUAGUUUCUCUCCCUCUCCCUUCUGUCACUCCAUUCACCCGGUUACUCAGAUUUUACUAUACUCGAUGUUUCCUUAUUUUUAUUCCUCAUUUAUUUGCCGACGAGAUAAAACUUUGACUGAUCUGUUGCCUAAUUCUAUAUCCACUACUUGUCUUUCCCUCUCUGCUGUCACUUCUUUUCAUUCACCGAGUUAGACAGACUUUACUAUUCUCACUGUUUCCUUAUUUUCAUUCUUAUUUGCCGACGAGAAAGAAAAAAAAACAUUGAUCUGUUGGCUAAUUCUUUAUCCACUACCUUCCUUUCCCUCCCUGCUGUCACUUCUCUUCGUUUACCGGGUUAGGCAGAUUGUACUAUAUACUCGAGGUUUCCUUAAUUUACUAUCAACGACUGUCUCCCGUUAAAAUCAUGUACUAUCGUUAUGUUAUCGUCACUUUCCACUAAUGUCAAGACUAACGCAAUCUUAUAACUAUCAUGUCUUACACUAACAUGACUGUCACCUGUUAAUAGCACUCUUACGAUCAUGUUACUAAUGUCACUCUUACCACUCAUGUUCUAAGACUGUCACAAUCACUUACUUUUACUUCUACUACCUUGUCUUACGUCAGUCACUUUUACUACCAUGUUUUACUAUCUCUUAUCAUGUCUUACGUUGUCAGAAUAACACACUCGCCUUAACCUAUGUGGCAAACUAACCUAUCACAACCACUCACACUAACAUAUCUUACGCAAGUCACAGCUACAAUCAUUGCCAGUUCUACUAACAUGUCUUACUGUCACUAUCACUCACGCUUUCCACCAUGUCUUACGUCAGUAGCACAAAGCAGUUACUCUACGUGGCAAAUUCACAUAUCACAACCACUCCUAACAUCUUACGUAAGUCACUCCUACAAUCACUGUCACUUCUACUAACAUGUCUUACUGUCACUAUUACUCACUCUUUCCUACGUCAGUAGCACAAAACAGUUAUUCUACGUGGCAAAUUCACAUAUCACAACCACUCCUACUAACAUCUUACGUAAGUCACU